rnacentral:lncRNA from 1 species
AUUCGUUUGCGAUCAUGUGCUAUCUGAAUCUACAAAUCGCCUAUGCCAUGUAAAAGUUUGUUUCGAAAACUACAUCGUUUUCAUAUCGAAUGAUCCAAACGGAUAUCGAAAAUAGUUAAAUAUGUAUCAAACGUACGCCUCAAAAAAGACGUCUAACUCGUUUUUUCUUUUAAAAAAUUCAAUUAAUUAUUAUUUUUGC